UUGUAAAGUGGCUGUUCCACUGGAUGUCAUAAGGUGAAUGCACCAAUUUGUAAGUCGCUCUGGAUAAGAGUGUCUGCUAAAUGACUUAAAUGUAAUGUAAAUGCAAUUAUUGUCGCUUGGUUUUAUAGUUAGGUAACACCAGUGAAUUUGAGCAGGAAGUUCAUGUAUUCUAAAAUGAUAAUCUGUUUUCAAUACAUGGAACAGUAAUAAAAGUAGAAUGAAAUUAGUAUUGACUAUUAAACUGAUAAGACAGCUCCAACUUUUUGAAGGUUCUACAUUUGUUAAACAACAGUUUUAUAUUUUACUUAAUUAAUGCAACAGGUUACAUUUUCCGUAUUACCAGAAAGGGGUCCUGUGAUUUUUAAAAUUUUAGAUGGAGAUGAUUACACUUAGAACACUGUAUUAUCUAUGUGUCUUGAGUAGGAUUCUUGCUUCCAGGACUGAAGUCCAAUACAGAAUGUACAGUUGAAGUCGGAAGUGUACAUACAUUUUAACUCAGUUUUUCACAAUUCCUGACAUUUAAUCCUAGUAAAAAUUCCCUGCUUUAGGUCAGUUAGGAUCACCAUUUUAUUUUAAGAAUGUGAAAUGUCAGAAUAAUAUUAGAGAGAAUGAUUUAUUUCAGAUUAUUUAUUUUAUCACAUUCUCAGUGGACCAGAAUUUUACAUGCACUCAAUUAGUAUUUAGUAGCUUUGCCUUUCAAUUGUUUAACUUGGGUCAAACAUUUCGGGUAGCCUUCCACAAGCUUCCCACAAUAAGUUGGGUGAAUUUUGGCCCAUUCCUCCUGACAGAGCUGGUGUAACUGAGUCAGGUUUGUAGGCCUCCUUGCUCGUACACGCUUUUUAAGUUCUGCCCACACAUUUUCUAUAGGAUUGAGGUCAGGGCUUUGUGAUGGCCACUCCAAAACAUUGACUUUGUUGUCAUUAAGCCAUUUUUCCACAACUUUGGAAGUAUACUUGGGGUCAUUGUCCAUUUGCAACCAAGCUUUAAUUUCCUGACUGGUGUCUUGAGAUAUUGCUUCAAUAUAUCCACACAAUUGUUCCCCCUCAUGAUGCCAUCUAUUUUGUGAAUUGCACCAGUCCCUCCUGCAGCAAAGCACCCCCACAACAUGAUGCUGCCACCCCCAUGCUUCACGGUUGGGAUGGGUGUCCUUCGGCUUGCAAGCCUCCCCUUUUUAUCCAAACAUAACAAUGGCCAAUAUGACCAAACAGUUCUAUUUUUGUUUCAUCAGACCAGAGGACAUUUGAGUCACUGACGUGAUCUUCCUGUUUAGAUUGGCGGAUUGCCCCCCCCUUGGUUUGUGCCGUUGCGGAGAUCAUCGUGGGCCAUAUACUCGGCCUUGUCUCAGGAUGGACCUGAGACCUAGGACCAUGCCUCAGGACUACCUGGCCUGAUGACUCCUUGCUGUUCCCAGUCUACCAGGCCGUGCUGCUCCUGCGGCUAUGGAACGCUGACCUGUUCACCGGACGUGCUACCUGUUCCAGACAUGCUGUUUUCAACUCUCUAGAGACAGCAGGAGCGGAAGAGAUACUCUGAAUGAUCGGCUAUGAAAAGCCAACUGACAUUUGCUCCUGAGGUGCUGACCUGUUACACCCUCGACAACCACUGUGAUUAUUAUUAUUUGACCCUGCUGGUCAUCUAUAAACAUUUGAACAUCUUGGCCAUGUUCUGUUAUAAUCUCCACCCGGCACAGCCAGAAGAGGACCUGCCACUCCUCAUAGCUUGGUUCCUCUCUAGGUUUCUUCUUAGGUUCUGGCCUUUCUAGGGAGUUUUUCUAGCCACCGUGCUUCUACACCUGCAUUGCUUGCUGUUUGGGGUUUUAGGCUGGGUAAGAAGGGCUUUAUAAAUACAUUUGAUUGAUUGAUACAGACUCUGCAUUGACCACUUUGGGAGAACAAGUACAGGCCACUUGCAAAAGUACAUGGCAGAACAGGCAAGCUUUAAAUUGGCUCUUGGCAGAGAAAGGUAGAGUUUGUGUUAUGUUUGGAGAUGAACGCUGCACCUUCAUCCCCAAUAACACUGCCCCAGAUGGUUCAUUACUAAGGCAAUGACCAAGCUGAAAGGACUACGACAGGAAUUAAAGGACAAUGCUGGACAUGAUUCCCAUGCCUGGGACUGGUUGGACUCAAUCCUGGGAAAAUGGGGUGCAAAUGUUUACAAAAAUGGCAAUCAUGAUAGGCAAAGCACUAGUGGUGAUGGGUGUUGUAUUGUGUUUUAUUUUACCUUUACUGAAAUCUCUCCUCAUUCAAACCCCAGAAAAACAUAUGACUGUACAAACGGUCAUCACCAACCCAUUUGUGGAGAUGUUCCCUGUUCUUGGAGCUCCUGAACAAUACACUGACAAAAGUGGAAAAUGCCUAUUGGGGUAGCUCCAGGGGGAGGAUGGGGUUGUCGUACCUAUCAAGAACAACAUAAAUUGUUAUGUUGUUCUUCCUGACAUAUAUCCAAUUCCGGACUAUGUCGUGGAUCCUAAUCCUGAUCACAGGAUUCAACCAAUAUAAGUGGUGCUCAAAAGACUGAAGAGAAGGAGAUGGACAUUAUCAUCAUAUUGAAACUUUGACUGCAUUGUAUCAUAGGGGUGAUUGCCCACUGUGUUGUGAUAAAGAGCGUGUUUAGUGAAUAUGUAUGAUACUGUAAAUGAAGUUAGACCUUCUGUUUAUAUGACCUCCUAGACAUGUAAGUGACAUAGGGUUUUCUGGUUACGAGAAUCCACAGACCAUGCCCUUAAUCCUCUAACAGGUUUUUUCAUUAUUGACCUAAUAGUUGUUAGAGAGGUGUCUAUGAGGGUGUGUGUUUAGGUGUCAUAUUCAGAACGACAUAAGGGUUGAUGAGGUUUGGUUUAGUAUUUUUGAUUUUUAUUGUUUUAUUUUAUUUUACAUAACUGAAACUCUCGGUCAAGGCUGAGAUAUGCAUGCAUAUACUUUUAUACUGUAUGUUGAAGGAUAAAUAGGCUGAUCUUGAACUUCUUUCAGGCUCUGUGAGGGGUCUUGUGUCAGUGUGGGGCUUUUUAGCCCCAGAGGAGGGAUAUAUUGGUAAUUUUCCAGUACAUAUGUGGCAAUUAUUUAAUUCAGAAGGAGCCAGUAAACUAGUGCACUCUAUAUGUGCUCUGGGUCAUUAGACAUGCACCCGUCUGGGGUUGGACACGACUGGAUAUUCCUGUAACUGUGUUAUGGCCUACUAUGCACUGUUGCUAUGGUUACACCUCUUGGGGUUGUCCAGAACAUGGGUGUCCCUUUCAGAGGAGUUAGCAGGAUGACAUGUCUGGUUAUUUUUGUAAAGUACCAAGGACUGUGGCUAGGGUCCUACAUGUAUGCACCUCUCUUAGUGGAGAACAGGUCUGUCUAUUUCUGUGGCUCUACGGGUUCCAUGUCCUAAUAUGAAACUAAACUUAGUGCAAGGCAAUAAGAUAAUGGUGGCUAAAUGCCAGAGGGGAUGAGUCAUUAAGAGGAGUUACUAUGAGUGUGACAUAAGGAGGAAUAAUGUAUAAAACAUGUGUGCCAAGCCUGGAAAGGCAAUUGUAUUCAUGAACCAGCUCGGCUUUUGUUAUGCUGUAAUAAAAGUAUAUUUGAACUCA